rnacentral:ncRNA from 1 species
ACAUCAGUUACCAUAAGUAACGCAUUUUAGAAAAUCAUUGGUUGAUGAAAAAUGGUACGCGUGAAACUCCAGUAACAAACAUUUUAGCGGGUAAUGCUGCUCGGAAUCACCGUUAUCGAUAAUGAAGUGUUAUGGUUUAUUUAUAAUCAUAAAAAUUGGGUGGUACCACGGAAAUGCGUUUUUCGUCCCUUGU